AUGGAUAACCGUGGUAAUUCUAGAGCUAAUACAUGCUGGUUAGCCUGACUUUUAGGAAGGGCUGUAUUUAUUAGAUAACAAAUCAAUAUUCCUCGUGUCUAUUGUGAUGACUCAUAAUAACUGAUCGAAUCGCAUGGGCUUUGCCCGCGAUAAAUCAUUCAAGUUUCUGCCCCAUCAGCUUUCGAUGGUAGUGUAUUGGACUACCAUGGCGUUCACGGGUAACGGGGGAUUAGGGUUCGAUUCCGGAGAGGGAGCCUGAGAAACGGCUACCACAUCUAAGGAAGGCAGCAGGCGCGUAAAUUACCCAAUCCUGACUCAGGGAGGUAGUGACAAGAAAUAACGGACCGAAGCUUUUGUUUCGGGAUUGCAAUGAGUAGAAUUUAAACCCCUUUACGAGGAUCAAUUGGAGGGCAAGUCUGGUGCCAGCAGCCGCGGUAAUUCCAGCUCCAAUAGCAUAUAUUAAAGUUGUUGCAGUUAAAGAGCUCGUAGUUGGAUUUCUGAAGGGGUGCCAAUGUCCGCUGUUGCGUGUUCAGCGGUGCCCCUUCAUCCCUCUGUUAACGUCUCGGGUAUUCAUUUACUCGUUUCGGGCUCAGAUAUUUUACCUUGAGAAAAUUAGAGUGUUCUAGGCAGGCUUGCGCCGGAAUACAUUAGCAUGGAAUAAUAGAAUAGGACUUUAGUCUCCUUUGUUGGUUUGAGGGAUUGAAGUAAUGAUUAAUAGGGAUAGUUGGGGGCAUUAGUAUUUAAUUGUCAGAGGUGAAUUCUCGGAUUUGUAAAGACUACUUAUGCGAAAG
rnacentral:rRNA from 1 species